CUCUGCUUGCGCAUGCGCAAUGCCAGCCAGUGCCUGCGCGGCUUGCUCCAGCAAGGUAAAAUUUCCCACUGCGAGGCAGGCAGUGAUGCUGCGGCCGCUUCGCACUGUGGCUCCUGCCGACCGCCAGGCGCUGUUACAGUGGAUGCGAACUAACCGUAAGUAUGCAGCAGCAGCCGGAACCCACAGUUCACCUUGGUGCAUUCCUUUAUGAUGAAGACUUAUUGAUUCAUUAUAUGAGAAAGGAAAAAUGAGCAGAAACUACUGUAUGAUGUGCAGCUCACACCAGACAGCAACUUUAGAGUAAUUUAUCCCUACUUACAGAGAGAUUGCCCUACGUGUAACAGCUGCAUACAAAAAAGUUAUAAAAUUAUCAUUGGUUUAACAAGGAUAAGUGAAAAACAUUAAAAUUCUCCAACUGAACAAGGUAUGCAAGGAUUUUUAUCUUGUUGUUGUUUUGUUAAAAUAGUAAGAGCAAAAUAACUUACUGGAAUAUAAAGAUAAGAGCUGAAUGAGCAUGCCACUAAUGGAGAAAGGGGGUAUUUUCACAGAAUCAGUAUUUUUUCCCAUUCCAUCUCCACUUGAUGUCAGUCAAAACGUACCAUUGCUAUUUAGUUUAAAAAAUGCAAUAUGGGUUGGGCGCG
rnacentral:lncRNA from 1 species